rnacentral:rRNA from 1 species
AGUGGGGAAUUUUGGACAAUGGGGGCAACCCUGAUCCAGCCAUGCCGCGUGAGUGAAGAAGGCCUUCGGGUUGUAAAGCUCUUUCGGCCGGGAAGAAAUCGUAUGGGUUAAUACCCUGUGCGGAUGACGGUACCGGCAUAAGAAGCACCGGCUAACUACGUGCCAGCAGCCGCGGUAAUACGUAGGGUGCGAGCGUUAAUCGGAAUUACUGGGCGUAAAGCGUGCGCAGGCGGUUUUGUAAGACAGGCGUGAAAUCCCCGGGCUCAACCUGGGAACUGCGCUUGUGACUGCAAGGCUAGAGUACGGCAGAGGGGGGUGGAAUUCCACGUGUAGCAGUGAAAUGCGUAGAGAUGUGGAGGAACACCAAUGGCGAAGGCAGCCCCCUGGGUCGAUACUGACGCUCAUGCACGAAAGCGUGGGUAGCAAACAGGAUUAGAUACCCUGGUAGUCCACGCCCUAAACGAUGUCAACUAGGUGUUGGGUGGGUAAAACCAUUUAGUACCGGAGCUAACGCGUGAAGUUGACC